AUACGUACCUCCAUGGUGUAAUACAGAUGAAUCUUGUGAAAAACAUGAAGGGGAGACUGCAAAGAGUCAAGAACCUGUUAAUCCAAAUGAAACUUACGCUUACGCAGAUAACAAAUUG